rnacentral:rRNA from 1 species
GAUGAACGCUGGCGGCGUGCCUAAUACAUGCGAGUCGAGCGAACAGACGAGGAGCUUGCUCCUCUGACGUUAGCGGCGGACGGGUGAGUAACACGUGGAUAACCUACCUAUAAGACUGGGAUAACUUCGGGAAACCGGAGCUAAUACCGGAUAAUAUAUUGAACCGCAUGGUUCAAUAGUGAAAGACGGUUUUGCUGUCACUUAUAGAUGGAUCCGCGCCGCAUUAGCUAGUUGGUAAGGUAACGGCUUACCAAGGCAACGAUGCGUAGCCGACCUGAGAGGGUGAUCGGCCACACUGGAACUGAGACACGGUCCAGACUCCUACGGGAGGCAGCAGUAGGGAAUCUUCCGCAAUGGGCGAAAGCCUGACGGAGCAACGCCGCGUGAGUGAUGAAGGUCUUCGGAUCGUAAAACUCUGUUAUUAGGGAAGAACAAUUGUGUAAGUAACUAUGCACGUCUUGACGGUACCUAAUCAGAAAGCCACGGCUAACUACGUG